rnacentral:rRNA from 1 species
UGGGGAAUUUUGGACAAUGGGGGAAACCCUGAUCCAGCCAUCCCGCGUGUGCGAUGAAGGCCUUCGGGUUGUAAAGCACUUUUGGCAGGAAAGAAACGUCAUGGGUUAAUACCCCGUGAAACUGACGGUACCUGCAGAAUAAGCACCGGCUAACUACGUGCCAGCAGCCGCGGUAAUACGUAGGGUGCAAGCGUUAUUCGGAAUUACUGGGCGUAAAGCGUGCGCAGGCGGUUCGGAAAGAAAGAUGUGAAAUCCCAGAGCUCAACUUUGGAACUGCAUUUUUAACUACCGGGCUAGAGUGUGUCAGAGGGAGGUGGAAUUCCGCGUGUAGCAGUGAAAUGCGUUGAUAUGCGGAGGAACACCGAUGGCGAAGGCAGCAUCCUGGGAUAACACUGACGCUCAUGCACGAGAACGUGGGGAGCAAACAAG